GCCCGUUGGUCAAGCGGUUAAGACACCGCCCUUUCACGGCGGUAACACGGGUUCGAAUCCCGUACGGGUA
rnacentral:tRNA from 1 species